rnacentral:rRNA from 1 species
GGGUUGUGAGGUUAAGCGACUAAGCGUACACGGUGGAUGCCCUGGCAGUCAGAGGCGAUGAAGGGCGUGCUAAUCUGCGAUAAGCGCCGGUAAGGUGAUAUGAACCGUUAUAACCGGCGAUACCCGAAUGGGGAAACCCAGUGUGAUUCGUCACACUAUCAUUAACUGAAUCCAUAGGUUAAUGAGGCGAACCGGGGGAACUGAAACAUCUAAGUACCCCGAGGAAAAGAAAUCAACCGAGAUUCCCCCAGUAGCGGCGAGCGAACGGGGAGGAGCCCAGAGCCUGAAUCAGCAUGUGUGUUAGUGGAAGCGUCUGGAAAGGCGCGCGAUACAGGGUGACAGCCCCGUACACAAAAGCGCAUGUGCUGUGAGCUCGAUGAGUAGGGCGGGACACGUGGUAUCCUGUCUGAAUAUGGGGGGACCAUCCUCCAAGGCUAAAUACUCCUGACUGACCGAUAGUGAACCAGUACCGUGAGGGAAAGGCGAAAAGAACCCCGGCGAGGGGAGUGAAAAAGAACCUGAAACCGUGUACGUACAAGCAGUGGGAGCCCCACCACUAAGCCAGUGGUGAACUCCACAUCCGCAUCCUUUGCUGAGGAUACGGUUAACGGAGCGAAAGCGACGUUCAACCGCAAAACAAGCAGAGGGGGCUUAGUGGUGGGGUGACUGCGUACCUUUUGUAUAAUGGGUCAGCGACUUAUAUUCUGUAGCAAGGUUAACCGAAUAGGGGAGCCGGAGGGAAACCGAGUCUUAAUUGGGCGUUAAGUUGCAGGGUAUAGACCCGAAACCCGGUGAUCUAGCCAUGGGCAGGUUGAAGGUUGGGUAACACUAACUGGAGGACCGAACCGACUAAUGUUGAAAAAUUAGCGGAUGACCUGUGGCUGGGGGUGAAAGGCCAAUCAAACCGGGAGAUAGCUGGUUCUCCCCGAAAGCUAUUUAGGUAGCGCCUCGUGAAUUCAUCUCCGGGGGUAGAGCACUGUUUCGGCUAGGGGGCCAUCCCGGCUUACCAACCCGAUGCAAACUGCGAAUACCGGAGAAUGUUAUCACGGGAGACACACGGCGGGUGCUAACGUCCGUCGUGAAGAGGGAAACAACCCAGACCGCCAGCUAAGGUCCCAAAGUCAUGGUUAAGUGGGAAACGAUGUGGGAAGGCCCAGACAGCCAGGAUGUUGGCUUAGAAGCAGCCAUCAUUUAAAGAAAGCGUAAUAGCUCACUGGUCGAGUCGGCCUGCGCGGAAGAUGUAACGGGGCUAAACCAUGCACCGAAGCUGCGGCAGCGAACGUAUCACUUAAAGCGAUGCAGCGAGUUAUGAUUGACGUGGCGAAGGGACGGCAAAGCGUAUACAAAGUGGAGUCGGUUUAAGGAUACGUUCGUUGGGUAGGGGAGCGUUCUGUAAGCCCGUGAAGGUGGCCUGUGAGGGUUGCUGGAGGUAUCAGAAGUGCGAAUGCUGACAUAAGUAACGAUAAAGCGGGUGAAAAGCCCGCUCGCCGGAAGACCAAGGGUUCCUGUCCAACGUUAAUCGGGGCAGGGUGAGUCGACCCCUAAGGCGAGGCCGAAAGGCGUAGUCGAUGGGAAACGGGUUAAUAUUCCCGUACUUGGUGUUACUGCGAAGGGGGGACGGAGAAGGCUAUGUUGGCCGGGCGACGGUUGUCCCGGUUUAAGCGUGUAGGUGUGUGUUCCAGGUAAAUCCGGUUCACUUUAACACUGAGGCGUGACGACGAGGCACUACGGUGCUGAAGCAACAAAUGCCCUGCUUCCAGGAAAAGCCUCUAAGCAUCAGGUAACAUCAAAUCGUACCCCAAACCGACACAGGUGGUCAGGUAGAGAAUACCAAGGCGCUUGAGAGAACUCGGGUGAAGGAACUAGGCAAAAUGGUGCCGUAACUUCGGGAGAAGGCACGCUGACACGUAGGUGAAGUGAUUUACUCAUGGAGCUGAAGUCAGUCGAAGAUACCAGCUGGCUGCAACUGUUUAUUAAAAACACAGCACUGUGCAAACACGAAAGUGGACGUAUACGGUGUGACGCCUGCCCGGUGCCGGAAGGUUAAUUGAUGGGGUCAGCGCAAGCGAAGCUCCUGAUCGAAGCCCCGGUAAACGGCGGCCGUAACUAUAACGGUCCUAAGGUAGCGAAAUUCCUUGUCGGGUAAGUUCCGACCUGCACGAAUGGCGUAAUGAUGGCCAGGCUGUCUCCACCCGAGACUCAGUGAAAUUGAACUCGCUGUGAAGAUGCAGUGUACCCGCGGCAAGACGGAAAGACCCCGUGAACCUUUACUAUAGCUUGACACUGAACAUUGAGCCUUGAUGUGUAGGAUAGGUGGGAGGCUUUGAAGUGUGGACGCCAGUCUGCAUGGAGCCGACCUUGAAAUACCACCCUUUAAUGUUUGAUGUUCUAACGUGGACCCGUUACCCGGGUUGCGGACAGUGUCUGGUGGGUAGUUUGACUGGGGCGGUCUCCUCCUAAAGAGUAACGGAGGAGCACGAAGGUUGGCUAAUCCUGGUCGGACAUCAGGAGGUUAGUGCAAUGGCAUAAGCCAGCUUGACUGCGAGCGUGACGGCGCGAGCAGGUGCGAAAGCAGGUCAUAGUGAUCCGGUGGUUCUGAAUGGAAGGGCCAUCGCUCAACGGAUAAAAGGUACUCCGGGGAUAACAGGCUGAUACCGCCCAAGAGUUCAUAUCGACGGCGGUGUUUGGCACCUCGAUGUCGGCUCAUCACAUCCUGGGGCUGAAGUAGGUCCCAAGGGUAUGGCUGUUCGCCAUUUAAAGUGGUACGCGAGCUGGGUUUAGAACGUCGUGAGACAGUUCGGUCCCUAUCUGCCGUGGGCGCUGGAGAACUGAGGGGGGCUGCUCCUAGUACGAGAGGACCGGAGUGGACGCAUCACUGGUGUUCGGGUUGUCAUGCCAAUGGCACUGCCCGGUAGCUAAAUGCGGAAGAGAUAAGUGCUGAAAGCAUCUAAGCACGAAACUUGCCCCGAGAUGAGUUCUCCCUGAGACUUAGAGUCUCCUGAAGGAACGUUGAAGACGACGACGUUGAUAGGCCGGGUGUGUAAGCGCAGCGAUGCGUUGAGCUAACCGGUACUAAUGAACCGUGAGGCUUAACCUUACAACGCCGAAG